rnacentral:rRNA from 1 species
GCAUAUCAAUAAGCGGAGGAAAAGAAACCAACAGGGAUUGCCUCAGUAACGGCGAGUGAAGCGGCAACAGCUCAAAUUUGAAAUCUGGCCCUAGGCCCGAGUUGUAAUUUGCAGAGGAUGUUUCUGGCGAGGUGCCUUCCGAGUUCCCUGGAACGGGACGCCAUAGAGGGUGAGAGCCCCGUACGGUUGGUCGCUAAGCCUCUGUGAAACUCCUUCGACGAGUCGAGUAGUUUGGGAAUGCUGCUCUAAAUGGGAGGUAUACGUCUUCUAAAGCUAAAUACCGGCCAGAGACCGAUAGCGCACAAGUAGAGUGAUCGAAAGAUGAAAAGCACUUUGAAAAGAGGGUUAAAUAGUACGUGAAAUUGUUGAAAGGGAAGCGCUUAUGACCAGACUUGGACCGGUUGAUCAUCCAUCGUUCUCGGUGGUGCACUCUGCCGGUUCAGGCCAGCAUCAGUUCGUCCCGGGGGAUAAAGGCUUUGGGAAUGUGGCUCUUCGGAGUGUUAUAGCCCACUGCGUAAUACCCUGGGAUGGACUGAGGUUCGCGCUCCGCAAGGAUGCUGGCGUAAUGGUCAUCAGUGACCCGUCUUGAAACACGGACCAAGGAGUCGUCUUCGUAUGCGAGUGUUCGGGUGUCAAACCCCUACGCGUAAUGAAAGUGAACGUAGGAGAGAGCUUCGGCGCAUCUCCGACCGAUCCUGAUGUUCUCGGAUGGAUUUGAGUAAGAGCAUACGGGGCCGGACCCGAAAGAAGGUGAACUAUGCUUGUAUAGGGUGAAGCCAGAGGAAACUCUGGUGGAGGCUCGCAGCGGUUCUGACGUGCAAAUCGAUCGUCAAAUAUGAGCAUGGGGGGCGAAAGACUAAUCGAACCUUCUAGUAGCUGGUUUCCGCCGA